GCUGAACCAACCCCUUACCAAAAGAGCGUUCUCCCAAAAUAACUGCUCUAUCAUAAUCUUGAAGUGCGCCUGCUACUAUUUCAGAAGCAGAAGCUGAACUUUCGUUAAUUAAAAUAGUGAGAGGAAUUUCUAAAUCUAAAGGAAUAUUUGAUGCAUUGUAAGUAGUACUCCAUUUUCUAACUUUAGCUUUUGUUGAUGUAAUUUUACUUCCUUUUGGCAAGAAAAAAUUUGAGAUGUUUAUUGCCUCACCUAGAGAACCUCCUGGAUUAUUUCUUA
rnacentral:ncRNA from 1 species